CGAGAGGGACUGGGAUGCCA
rnacentral:miRNA from 1 species